AUUGAACGCUGGCGGCAUGCUUUACACAUGCAAGUCGAACGGUAACAGGCCUUCGGGUGCUGACGAGUGGCGAACGGGUGAGUAAUGCAUCGGAACGUGCCCAGAGGUGGGGGAUAACGCAGCGAAAGCUGUGCUAAUACCGCAUGUGAUCUGAGGAUGAAAGCGGGGGACCAAGCAGCAAUGUUUGGCCUCGCGCCUCUGGAGCGGCCGAUGUCAGAUUAGGUAGUUGGUGGGGUAAAGGCCUACCAAGUCGACGAUCUGUAGCUGGUCUGAGAGGACGACCAGCCACACUGGGACUGAGACACGGCCCAGACUCCUACGGGAGGCAGCAGUGGGGAAUUUUGGACAAUGGGCGCAAGCCUGAUCCAGCAAUGCCGCGUGCGGGAAGAAGGCCUUCGGGUUGUAAACCGCUUUUGUACGGAACGAAAAGGCUCUGGCUAAUACCUGGGGCUGAUGACGGUACCGUAAGAAUAAGCACCGGCUAACUACGUG
rnacentral:rRNA from 1 species